rnacentral:rRNA from 1 species
UACGUAGGGCGCAAGCGUUGUCCGGAAUUAUUGGGCGUAAAGAGCUCGUAGGCGGCUUGUCACGUCGGAUGUGAAAGCCCGGGGCUUAACUCCGGGUCUGCAUUCGAUACGGGUUGGCUAGAGUGUGGUAGGGGAGAUCGGAAUUCCUGGUGUAGCGGUGAAAUGCGCAGAUAUCAGGAGGAACACCGGUGGCGAAGGCGGAUCUCUGGGCCAUUACUGACGCUGAGGAGCGAAAGCGUGGGGAGCGAACAGG